rnacentral:rRNA from 1 species
GAUGAACGCUGACAGAAUGCUUAACACAUGCAAGUCGAUGGGGAAGUGGUGCUUGCACCAUGGCAACCAUGGCGGACGGGUGAGUAACGCGUAAGGGACUUACCUGCAGGACUGGGAUAACAGGGGGAAACUCCUGACAAGACCGGAUAAUGUCAUGGAGCUGCAUGGCUUUAUGAUGAAAGGAGACGCCUGCGGAGAGCCUUGCGUCCUAUUAGCUAGUUGGUGAGGUAAUGGCUCACCAAGGCGAAGAUAGGUAGCCGGCCUGAGAGGGUGGACGGCCACAAGGGGACUGAGAUACGGCCCUUACUCCUACGGGAGGCAGCAGUGGGGAAUAUUGGACAAUGGGGGCACCCUGAUCCAGCAAUUCUGUGUGCACGAAGAAGGUUUUCGGAUUGUAAAGUGCUUUCAGCAGGGAAGAAGUAAGUGACGGUACCUGCAGAAGAAGCGACGGCUAAAUACGUG